CCUACGGGUGGCAGCAGUGGGGAAUAUUGCACAAUGGGGGAAACCCUGAUGCAGCAACGCCGCGUGGGUGAAGGAGCGUUUCGGCGCGUAAAGCCCUGUCAGCGGGGAAGAAGAAAGACGGUACCCGACCAAGAAGCCCCGGCUAACUACGUGCCAGCAGCCGCGGUAAGACGUAGGGGGCGAGCGUUAUCCGGAAUUACUGGGUGGAAAGGGAGCGUAGACGGCGAGGUAAGCCUGAAGUGGAAGCCCGCGGCCCAACCGCGGAACUGCUUUGGGGACUGUUUUGCUGGAGUAAGGGAGGGGUAAGCGGAAUUCCUGGUGUAGCGGUGAAAUGCGUAGAUAUCAAGAGGAACACCCGUGGCGAAGGCGGGUUCCUGGACCAUAACUGACGUUGAGGCUCGAAAGCGUGGGGAGUGAACGGGAUUAGAUACCCUGGUAGUC
rnacentral:rRNA from 1 species